rnacentral:hammerhead_ribozyme from 1 species
AUCUAACUGAUGAGCCCUAAGUAGGACGAAAUGUACAUCCUGGAU